CGACAAUUCUUAGUGAAAUAGUACAAUUUUGAAUUAUUGUUUAUCAUAUAUAAUCAAAUUAACAUAUUAUUAACUUCCGGGCAUUAUAUCCGGUAUAAUCACAUGACAACAUUUGUUUGAAUUAUUCAACACACAAUUGGGAAGCCAUGUUUGUAUGUUUAUAACGUGUUCAAAAUAGUGAAGUUCUUUAGUCCAAUUAAUCAUCUGAAUUGGAUAGAAAUAUAACUCCUGGUUAUGUUUAGUUCGGUGUCUUCUGCUGGAUGAACAGGUAGGUCAUUUUCGUCAGAAAAUAUAUAAUUUAACAACCCUCGAAAACGAGAUCGGCAUUCGGCAAUACCGACCUACAGUAUUAAAAUGCCUAUGUUUUGCCGACCUUAAUUCAGCCAAAGUAAUAAUCUUUUUUGGUGCUUAUAGCUGUUAAAACGUCAGCGAUUAUAGAAUUCGAUGCACUUUGGUGUAAGGUUUGAGAAUUAACGGGUAUAUUUAUGAUAUAAUUUCGGAGAAACUCUAAAAGAAAAGGCUUCGUGACAUUUAUACUUUUCAAUGAUUCGUAAAUACGUGAUUACUAGUGCAGGCUACUAGUGCUCCAAGACAUGGAAACAGAUUUUAAAAAAUGCCGAGAUGUGCCGAGCUAGGUCAGAUUUAGGUCGGCAUUUUUUUCCGACCUCAAUUUUGACGGUUUUCGAGGGCUGAUUUAAAAAUUAAAAGGUCAAAAUUUGUGAAUUCCUCCAUUUUGAAUUUUUUUACAGCAAUAAAAAAAAUAAAAUUCAAAGUUUGUAUCCUGAAUGCUGAUUGGCUAGUUGUAAAUACUAGACUGAUUUUCAUUGGCUGUAGACAAGAGUGCGAUUACAGCUCAGAAAAGGUGCGAUUAAUGCUCAAAUCGCACUCCUGUAAACCAAUGAAAUUGCAGUACUUGCCACUGAUUACAGAAGAUAAAUAAUUAAUGAAAUAAUUGCACUCCUCUUAACCAAUCAGAUUGCAGUAAUUUUGUCAUGUAUA
rnacentral:lncRNA from 1 species